AUGUGGUUAUGACGCGUCUUUAUCAGCUGAUGGAUGAAGGCGUGGCUCACCUGUCAGAUUUGACGGGUGAGUCACGCCCUCUGCUGUCAGUUCACCUCUCCAGAAUGCUGUUCCAGGUUGUAGAGAGCAUGUAGGCUCCUUGGUCCCUGUUGAUGGUCCUCGGGCCCCGCUUGCGGAUCUCAAUGGCCUCCCUGAUCCAACGCUGAUGUUUGUUUUCUUCAGUGCGGAUGACUCUGGCUUUUCCCAGUCCAUGAUGUGGUUUUCUCUUUUACAGUGGUCGGUAAUGGCUGACUUGUAGUGUUCCUGUUCUGCUUGUAGUUUUAUUGCUCUUGUUUGUCUUGUUGCUGACAGCAGACAGUACACUCAAGAAACGCACAAAUCUAACAGCACAGGACAUCACCCAACUACUUCAUUUUACCGCCACCUCCACAUACUUUCAAUACAGAAACACAAUUUACAGGCAAAAAGAGGGAUUCCCCAUGGGAGACCCUCUUUCUGCCAUGAAGUGCAAUUUCUUUAUGGAGGAUUUAGAACAGAAGGCACUCUUAACAGCCCCGGACACAUACAAACCCACGCUAUGGAGACGCUACGUCGACGACAUUCUAGAAAAAACAAAAACAGGACAUACACAACACCUCACAGACCAUCUCAUAGACACCACCGGCAACAUCAAAUUCACUCAUGAAGAAGAAACAGAUCAAUCCAUAGCCUUUUUAGACAUCAACAUACACCACACAGACAACGGAGACAUAAAAACAAAAGUACACAGAAAAUCCACACACACUGACCAAUACCUCCUCUGGACAUUAGAACAUCCCACUAUACAUAAACUGUCAGUAGUCAGAACACUAUACGAAUGCACAACAAUAAUCACGGAUCCGGAGGACAUAACACAGAAAGAAAAAUACAUACAACAUGCACUCAAAAAGUGUCAGUAUCCACAAUGGGCAAUAACCAAAGGUGCAGAACAGGUAAAAAACACAAAACACAGGAGGAAAGAAAGAAACAAACACGGAAACAAGAACCCAGCGGAAUGGUGACGUUGCCGUAUGUGAGAGGAAUUACGUAACGCAUCAAAAGAGCCAUGAAAAAAUACAAUAUAAGCAUGCCUAUCACACCACAUACAACACUCCGUCAGAUACUGGUCCACCCAAAAGACAGAGUCAACCUGGAAAAAAAAUGUAAUUCUAUAUACGAGAUUCCAUGCAAAUCAUGCAAUAAUUCAUACAUCGGGGAGACAGGGACGAAUUUCAUCACAAGAAAACCAGAACCAGGGCUCGAAACUAACGAUUGCCCGAUUGCCCGGGGCAAGUAGCGAUGGCAGACGGGCAAGUAGAAUUUUUUCCUCACUUGCCCGAACUUGCCCUGCCAUAAUACCAUGUUUUCAAGCUGUAAAAAGACGAUUUUGUGCAUAAUUUCUCGCAACUUCUGCCGCUUCUGGUCCGACAUUUUGUUUUCUAGGGAGCGGUUAGUUUCUCGUGUAAGUCUGCAAUACAUUGAUAACGGCAAAGCGCUUCGUAAUUAAAUGCAUGCUCUCUCACCCGUCCCUGGCUCUUCUGCGCCUGCGCACCAGCAGAGCUUGUUUCCGGUUGGCGGAUACGAAGGCAUAUGAAGGCAAAACUUAUAGUGUUGUCUUUUUUAUUGCAAAAAUGUGUCGGGCAAGUAAAAAUCCACUCCAAAAAAAUUCGGGCAAGUAAAAUUUUGUUUCGGGCAAGUAAAAUUUUCUCCAACUUGCCCGAGGGCAACUUGGGCAAAAAAUAAGCUUCGAGCCCUGCAGAACACAAAAAGGAAUGUGAGAAGGAGACAGCAACAAGACAAACAAGAGCAAUAAAACUACAAGCAGAACAGGAACACUACAAGUCAGCCAUUACCGACCACUGUAAGAGAAAACCACAUCAUGGACUGGGAAACGGCCAGAGUCAUCGGCACUGAAGAAAACAAACAUCAGCGUUGGAUCAGGGAGGCCAUUGAGAUCCGCAAGCGGGGCCCACGGACCAUCAACAGGGACGAGGGAGCCUACAUGCUCUCUACAACCUGUAACAGCAUUCUGGAGAGGUGAACUGACAGCAGAGGGCGUGACUCACCUGUCAAAUCUGACAGGUGAGCCACGCCUUCAUCCAUCAGCUGAUAAAGACGCGUCACAACUACAUCAGUGACACUCUGAUGAAGGCGGAAGAACCCGCCGAAACAUGUCAGGUUUUGCAGAAAAUCUCAAAGCGGACAGAGUCCGUUUGUUGGAACCGCGCAAGCAGCUCCUCGCAAUCCGAGCGAACUUGUUGGUUCCACGCCGAAUUCAUCGUCAAACUACAAUUAUUAAAAUUCGCUAAUGGCGACUAUACAUUUUAAAAAGAGUUAUCUUUUCAUUUGCUUAUUUAAAGACAGCGCGUUGCUAUGCGAUUUACUGUAACGUUGGCUAAACGACACGUACGUGCGCCGGGGUCCCUUUUCUAUGACGUCAUCGUCAGGAUGCACCGAAACCUUUUUUUUUUAAUGCUUUAUUGAACAAAUAUGACAAUUAACAUUGAAUGUCCAAACUUUUUGCUAGGAGGGCUAGAUUUAAUAAAGUGAAGGGGCCCGGAGGCCAAUAGUUUUUUGGGAAAUUUAACUACAAAAAUUUCAUGCAAAUACACACUGUUAUAAAACAAA